UGGCAGCAGUGGGGAAUUUUGGACAAUGGGGGCAACCCUGAUCCAGCCAUUCCGCGUGAGUGAAGAAGGCCUUCGGGUUGUAAAGCUCUUUCAGCAGGAACGAAACGGUGGUCCUUAAUACGGGCUACUAAUGACGGUACCUGAAGAAGAAGCACCGGCUAACUACGUGCCAGCAGCCGCGGUAAUACGUAGGGUGCGAGCGUUAAUCGGAAUUACUGGGCGUAAAGCGUGCGCAGGCGGUUAUGUAAGACAGGUGUGAAAUCCCCGGGCUUAACCUGGGAACUGCGCUUGUGACUGCAUAACUCGAGUGUGGCAGAGGGGGGUGGAAUUCCACGUGUAGCAGUGAAAUGCGUAGAGAUGUGGAGGAACACCAAUGGCGAAGGCAGCCCCCUGGGAUAACACUGACGCUCAUGCACGAAAGCGUGGGGAGCAAACAGGAUUAGAUACCCUAGUAGUC
rnacentral:rRNA from 1 species